rnacentral:rRNA from 1 species
AUUUAAACUAUUAAACGCACAGGGGAUAUGAACUAUAAAAUCACAGGCUUUUUUAAGAAUUGGGCUAAGACCUUUCCCUUCAUUACCCAGUAAAAUUACCGAUCUUUUAUCGAAUUUUACUUUCCGAAUUUCUUCACUAUUCUCUGAUUUAACGUCAGUGCCAUAAACCCAAUACUGAUUUUCUUUAAGUUUUUUUAGUGUAUUACUAAUAUUUCCUACUCUGAUAACUUUAGUGUUAAAUACUGCACCAGCACUAGCCCUAAUAACUGAGUCAGUUAUAGUCGUAGUGUUGCGAUUACUAACUAUUAAGCCAUCAGCAGAAAAAGCAUGAACUGAGCGCAGCAUAGCUCCUAAAUUUUGUGGAUCUUCUAUAUUUACUGCAAAAAUAUAAGUCCUAUCGCCUCCCUGCUCUAAUAAAAACUUUUCAUCAUAAAGAGUUAUGGGUGAAACUUCUGCGAUUACAGAUUUCCCUUUAUAUUCGUCAGAUAUUUUAUCUAAUUCUUUUCUUUCGACUUUAUUUACAGGGAUUUUAUGCUUUCUGGCUAAUUCUUCGAUUUCUUGAGUUAGAGCAUUUAAGCUUUUAGCUAACCAUAUUUUAGAAAUAGAACCACCAGAUUUGAUGUAUUCUAAAAUGAGCUUAGCACCAUAGAUUCGAUUUUUUUUAUCCAUUAUUGAUACUCGCUGAAUGUCGCAUUGGGCUUGGUUUUUGGCUCUGGUAAAUUUCUUUUAGUCUCAGGUUUUUUAGCUUUUUCUGAUUCGUUAAUUUUUUUAAGCAUCUGAAUCUUUUCAUCUUCUUCUGACAUUUUACGAUCAUUAAUGUUUGUAAAAUUUUCAUCCUCUGCUUCAUCAGAUCUAGAUUUAAUAUCACUAGUAUCUGGAACUGGUGCAUAGCGCUUAGGUUCCGUGCCUGGUAUAAAUCUCAUCUCUACUGGAUUAGGAGUGUAUUCAGUCGCUAGAAGCCCAGUAAGAGGGUCUAUCUUCGCUGAUACAUAAUUAUUAUUAAAUUUAAAAUCAACAGCUGCUCUCGGAUUAUUUUCAUAAUAUUUAAGCAUAAAUUCACGCCAUAUCCAAGCAGGAGUGCUACCACCAGACCGCCAGCUAAGGUCCCCAAGUGUACAUUAAGUGGGAAAAGAAGUGGAAAUACAUAGACAGCCAGGAGGUUGGCUUAGAAGCAGCCAUCCUUUAAAGAAAGCGUAAUAGCUCACUGGUCAAGUGUUUUUGCGCUGAAGAUAAACGGGGCUAAAUGUACCACCGAAGCUGCGGCUUGUUAGAUAUUUAUAUCUAGCAGGGGUAGGAGAGCGUUCGCUAAUAGAUACUAGCUUGACUGUGAAGACAAGUGAUGGAUUAGCGCAGUGAUUAUGUUGGCAUAAGUAACGAAAAAAUAGGUGAGAUUCCUAUUCGCCGAAAGUCUAAGGUUUCCGUGAGAUCGGUUCAUCCACUCAGGGUUAGUCGGCUCCUAAGUCGAGGCCAAUUGGAAUAGACGAUGGGAAACAGGUAAAAUAUUCCUGUACCACUUGACAACGUUUGAGUGAUGGGGUGACGCAGAAAGAUAGGUUAACGUGGCUCUUGGAUAUGCCACGCUAAGCACAAAGAGAGACUUUAUUGGCAAAUCCGUAAAGUUGUUAAAUUGAAGUGUUAUGGGUAUACAGAGGUCUAGUACCGACGUGUAUUUAACUGACUCUACGCUGACAAGAAAAACCUCUAGCAAGUUGUUUGAGUGACCGUACCGUAAACUGACACAGGUAGACGAGCAGAGAAUGCUCAGGCGUUGAGAUAACUAUCAUUAAGGAACUCGGCAAAAUAGCCUCGUAACUUCGGGAGAAGAGGUGCCUACGGUGUGAAAGCACUUGUGGGUUUCAACAAAGAGGCCCAACCGACUGUUUAACAAAAACACAGGGCUGUGCAAACUCGUAAGAGGAAGUAUACAGUCUGACGCCUGCCCAGUGCUGGAAGGUUAAUAAGAGAGGUUAGCAGCAAUGCGAAGCUUUGAAUUGAAGCCCCAGUAAACGGCGGCCGUAACUAUAACGGUCCUAAGGUAGCGAAGUACCUUGUCGGGUAAAUUCCGACGCGCAUGAAUGGCGUAACGAGUUGGGCGCUGUCUUGAUGAUAGACUCAGUGAAAUUGUAGUGCGGGUGAAAAUGCCCGCUUCCCGCGACUGGACGGAAAGACCCCGUGCACCUUUACUAUAACUUGACAUUGAUUUUUGGAUAAAUUUGUGUAGGAUAGGCGGGAGAUGUUGAUGCUAAGGCGCUAGCUUUAGUGGAGUCGCCCUUGAAAUACCGCCCUUGUUUGUUUGAAAAUCUAACUUCGAAUUUCCGUAAUCCGGACGAAGGACAUUGUCUGGUGGGUAGUUUGACUGGGGUGGUCGCCUCCUAAAAUGUAACGGAGGCAUCCAAAGGUUCCCUCAGGACGAAUAGAAAUCGUCUAUAGAGCGCAAAAGCAUAAGGGAGCUUGACUGCAAGACAAACACGUCGAGCAGGUGCGAAAGCAGGGUUUAGUGAUCCAGUGGUUCUGUAUGGAAAGGCCAUUGCUAAAUGGAUAAAAGGUACGCCGGGGAUAACAGGCUUAUCUCCUCUAAGAGUUCAAAUCGACGAGGAGGUUUGGCACCUCGAUGUCGGCUCAUCACAUCCUGGGGCUGGAGCAGGUCCCAAGGGUUUGGCUGUUCGCCAAUUAAAGUGGUACGCGAGCUGGGUUCAGACCGUCGUAAGACAGGUCGGUCCUUAUCCGUCGUGGGCGCAAAGUAUUUGAGAGGAUCUGUCCUUAGUACGAGAGGACCGGGAUGGGCAAACCUCUUGUGUUCCAGUUGUUCUCCAAGAGCAACGCUGGGUAGCAAAGUUUGUAAGAGAUAACCGCUGAAAGCAUCUAAGUGGGAAACUCGCUCUAAGAUAAGAUAUUCCUUGAAACUCCUUGAGGACUACGAGGUUGAUAGGUCGGGUGUGUACAUACCGUAAGGUAUUUAGCUAACCGAUACUAAUAAGUUGAUUGUUUUUUUCAC